rnacentral:rRNA from 1 species
UCUGAAUCUGCGUACGGCUCCGCAAACCAGUUGUAAACUAUAGCAAGCAAGCUUGGGUCCGCCUUCGGGUGGGCCUAGGCGAUAAGGAUAACCCUGGUAAUUCUGAGGCUAAUACAAGAACUAGACCCCUGGUCGACCGGUUUAUCUGGAAGGCUGGGGGACGUCGAUUGUGGCUUGGUAUUUCCAGGAAAGGGCGCACGUUCAGACCACCAUCUAAAGGAAGGCUCUCACGGGCUGACCGGUGGCUCUUGCUGUGUGCUUCUGACCUAUCAACUAGACGGCAGUGUAAGGGACAUGCUAUGGU